UACGUAGGGUGCGAGCGUUGUCCGGAAUUAUUGGGCGUAAAGAGCUCGUAGGCGGUGUGUCACGUCGGCCGUGAAAACCUGCAGCUUAACUGUGGGCGUGCGGUCGAUACGGGCAUCACUGGAGUUCGGCAGGGGAGACUGGAAUUCCUGGUGUAGCGGUGAAAUGCGCAGAUAUCGGGAAGAACACCGACGGCGAAGGCAGCUCGCUGGGACGGUACUGACGCUGAGGCGCGAAAGCGUGGGGAGCGAACAGG
rnacentral:rRNA from 1 species